rnacentral:lncRNA from 1 species
GUCCACCACUGCACCCAGAGGAAUAUCUUUUUUGAGGCAAAGACCUUCAUUGUCACAGUGGGCUCCCACAGAUUGAGAUGAAAUUUAGGUGCAAUGAGGCCAAUGACACCAUUAGAUCACAUCAUUUGCAGUAUUUCCAUUGAGGUAUUUACCACAUUACUGAUAAAGCAACUGAGCCUAGGACAAGGAAGAUAAACCAGCUCAAAAUCACAGAGCAGGGUAAGUCCUUGAGCUUCUGCAAACUUGGAAGAGAAAAUUAAUACCAGAACUAUUCAAGAACCAGGGGAUCCCAGAAGAAGGAAAAGCAUCUCCUCUGUGCUGGAAAAAGAGACUCACUGUCCUCU